GAUUUUUUGGGUGUAAAAGUAGGCCAUACUUUUUCAGUAUAAAAAAGUUGUCAAUCACGUCAAAUGUUGUAUUGAUAAAGAGUUGGGAUAAACAUAAAAAAAAUUCUAUUAUUUGGAUUGAAGAUUUCUGUGGUGAGAAUUGGCAAUGGCUUUUAUAUCUUCAACUACAAUUCAUGGCUCUCUUUCUUCAUCUUCUUAUGAAAAUAACCCAAAGGACCUGGAGCAGUCCUUAUGUUACACCUGAAUAUAUUAAAAAAUUCUCUUCUAACCCAUUUGAUUUUGGUAUACCAAGUUGUACUAUACAGAACCUGCAAGGGGGAGCCAUAGAUUAAUGUUGAGAUACUAAGGCAUAUGCUUUCAGUUGAAAGAAAAUGGGCCAAUUGAAAAUGUAUUGAUCCAGGUUCUUCCUACCAAAACAGAUACCAGUGAGCUGGACCGUACGUGGAGACUUCAAGGUAUAUCUGCCAGCGUCCGCAGACCUCGGAUCCCCC